AUUGAACGCUGGCGGCAGGCCUAACACAUGCAAGUCGAACGAGUGGCGGACGGGGGAGUAAUGUCUGGGAAACUGCCUGAUGGAGGGGGAUCACUACUGGAAACGGUAGCUAAUCCCGCAUAACAUCAGAUGUGCCCAGAUGGUAUUAGCUAGUAGGGGGGGUAACGGCUCACCUAGGCGACGAUCCCUAGCUGGUCUGAGAGGAUGACCAGCCACACUGGAACUGAGACACGGUCCAGACUCCUACGUGAGGCAGCAGUGGGGAAUAUUGCACAAUGGGCGAAAGCCGGAUGCAGCAAUGCCGCGUGUAUGAAGAAGGUCUUCGGGUUGUAAAGUACUUGCAUCGGAGAGGCGGUACCCGCAGAAGAAGCACCGGCUAACUCCGUGCCAGCAGCCGCGGUAAUAC
rnacentral:rRNA from 1 species